UAAGAGAAAUCCAGAGACAGAUAGUUUAGUGAUAGUAUGGUGGCUCCAUGGUGUCAUCAGAUAUGCAGGCUCAUGUCUUUAUGCUUUGUUAAACUCAAAGUGAGUGUCUUCCUUCUUUAGAGUAACCCUCUGGCCCAAGAUGGCUGCUGGAGCCUCAGCUACUACAUGUGGAUUCCAGGCCAGAAGUAGAGGGAGGGGAAAACAAAGGAGUAUACCUUCCGGGGAUAUCAGCUUUUUUGUAUCAUCUUCCUGAGGUCCUGUGCAUUUCCAUAGUCACAUAUAUGCCCCUAACCGUCUUCUCAGGCCUUAAAUGUUUGGGCGUGUUGUGAAUCUCCAAGACUGAGCCACAAGAUGCAGCAUUUUCCUAAUGACCUCAGGCCCUUUUUGAAUGGGCACUUUUGGGAAUCAGCGUUCUGCAAAGCAUACCUUGGGAAGCCACAGAGAGCUUUUCCCUGAAGCAGGGUUUCUCAACCUGUACGUUGUUGGCAUUUGGGGCAGGAUAAUUCUUAGUUGUGGGCGGCUGUCCUGUGCAUUGGAGGGUAUUUACCAGCAUCCCUGGCCUCUGCUCACCAGAUGCCAAUAGCAAUUCCUCCCCCACCCUGUUGUGACAACCAAAAGUGUCCCCAGGUAUUGCCAAAUGUUCCCUGCUGGCAAAAUGGCCCUCAGAUGAGAACCUUUACUCUAGGGAAAUUUCUAGAAUCAAGAAAAUACAUUGCAAUGAUAGGAGAGACCACUCUCUCAGGUAUGAAUAUUCAGCUGACUGUUAGAGUCCUUGGCAAUAAGAUUGUUAUUUUUUAAAAGAGACAGUAUUACUGGUGAAGAUUCAUUUCAAAAAUGGAAAUGAAAAUAAAAGUUGCUGUUUCUAUGAUAA